CUCUCCAUUAAAGAGUAGAAUAAUUGCUUCUACUAUGUCUCCAUUCGUGUUCGUGUUUGAGCGUUGCGAGAACGUCACAUUUGUCGCCACAGACCUGGCUACAUAUAUAAAAGUAUUAAAAUCUACUGUGCCAAUAAAUAUUCAUCAGGCGGUAGUCAGGAGUGCGAGCCACCUAUAGUCGAGUGGCAGUCACAUGAAUGCUGAUUAUGCCAUGGCUAGCAGACUAGACCGGGACUAGAACAGUGGAUUUGAAGCGCAAACAAAAGCAAAGCCAGAAGAGCCAUGAAAAUAAUGCGUGUGCUUGUUGAACCGAUACAGGGACGGAUAUCAUGGCGGAUACGUAAAGCAUUAAGAGCUUGUAACUACGAGGGACGAAUAUGCAUCAAGUGGCUGUUGCCAUGGAUUUAAAGUUUGCUGCUCAACGCUGACCAGCCGCCCAUAAGUCCAUUAGUUGGCCUCGUAAACAUCGCCGUCUGUGCGGCGUCUGCUCAACAGCAACACAUGGAUUUUCACACGCCAUCCCAGUGGCAGUCGUGUCCCGAAUCGGUCCUCGGGUGGAGCAGGUGGUGCAGUCGAGUAAGGUGUAAACAAUGCCAGCAACUGUUACGCACACUAAUGAGUUCAGAGAAACAUUAUAUCUGCCAUCUUCAAGCAAUAGGGGUAGUCGUGUGCGUGUAUUUUGUUAAAUUCUGAUUUAUGUUAAGGCAAACAGAGCUCACUUGACACGCAAACAACAAUUUAUGUUCCUUCAAUAUCCAAUGGCAUGAUAUUAAAAUGUAU